AGAGUUUGAUCCUGGCUCAGAACGAACGCUGGCGGCGUGCUUAAUACAUGCAAGUCGCGCGUGAAAGAGGAGCAAUCCUCGAGUAAAGCGGCAAACGGGUGAGUAACACGUAAGUAAUCUACCUCCAAAUCCGGGAUAACCUUGCCAACGCGGGGCUAAUACCGGAUGUGGUCCCAUGGUUCAUGAUCGUGGGAUUAAAGAUGACCUCUAUUUAUAAGUUAUCGCUUGGAGAUGAGCUUGCGGCCCAUUAGCUAGUUGGCGGGGUAAUGGCCCACCAAGGCUUUGAUGGGUAGCCGGCCUGAGAGGGUGUACGGCCACAUUGGGACUGAGAUACGGCCCAGACUCCUUCGGGAGGCAGCAGUAGGGAAUUUUGCGCAAUGGACGAAAGCCUGAUGCAGCAACGCCGCGUGAGUGAUGAAGGUCUUCGGAUUGUAAAGCUCUGUUGAGUGGGAAGAAAAGUUACAGGUCUAAUAUAUCUGUAGCCUGACGGUACCAUUUGAGGAAGCCCCGGCUAACUACGUGCCAGCAGCCGCGGUAAUACGUAGGGGGCGAGCGUUGUUCGGAAUUACUGGGCGUAAAGGGAGCGUAGGCGGGUCAGUAAGUUAGAAGUUUAAUGCACAGGCUUAACCUGUGACUUGCUUUUAAUACUGCUGAUCUUGAGUAUGGAAGAGGGAGAUGGAAUUCCAGGUGUAGCGGUGGAAUGCGUAGAUAUCUGGAAGAACACCAUUAGCGAAGGCGGUCUCCUGGUCCAAUACUGACGCUGAGGCUCGAAAGCUAGGGGAGCAAACAGGAUUAGAUACCCUGGUAGUCCUAGCCGUAAACU
rnacentral:rRNA from 1 species